CCUACGGGUGGCUGCAGUAGGGAAUAUUGGGCAAUGGAAGAGAUUCUGACCCAGCCAUGCCGCGUGCCGGAAGAAGGCGCUACGCGUUGUAAACGGCUUUUGUCAGGGAAGAAAACGGUCUUGCGAGGCUAAUUGACGGUACCUGACGAAUAAGCACCGGCUAACUCCGUGCCAGCAGCCGCGGUAAUACGGAGGGUGCAAGCGUUGUCCGGAUUUAUUGGGUCUAAAGGGUGCGUAGGCGGCCUGUUAAGUCAGUGGUGAAAGACGGCAGCUCA
rnacentral:rRNA from 1 species